UGAUAAUUUUGCCAGUUAAAUGACCCUUCUCCUGCUCUUUUCGCAACUCUUUUGUUUCUCUCUCUCUUUUCUUUGCUCUUUCUCUCUCUACUCUCAAGUCUCUCUGUAUUUUCGUUUCACUUGAAUCGAAAUAGGGAUUUUGUUCUUCGCUGAUCAAUUUUGUUGCUGUGAUUCUUUGAUUUUCAUCACUGUUUGAGGUUAUUGCUUAGUAUGGUACUUAUCUAGCUGGCUGUUUUAAUCCUAUGGAAGAGAGUGAAACACAGGUUGUUUUGCGACUUCAACACAAAGGUUGUUGCUCAGCAAGGCCCUAUGAAAAUCAGAUGAGAAGGUCAACAAUGGUUCAAAUCUUUCAGCUAUGAAAUUCCUGCACAUCUUCUGAGUUUUAUAAUUUAGUUUUGUGAAAUUCAUGGAGGAAUUUAUUAUUUAGUUUUAUUUACUUUUGAGUUAAUGGUAGUUACUUUUGAGUUGAUGUUGGUGACUGAAUUUGGUAUAUAAUUGUGUGCAUGGAUUAUUUAGUAGCAGACUACACUUUUCAAUAUGGAGCAGGUGACUUCCAACCUACAAAGGCAGCAGACCUUUGCCCAGUGUAUGUUGCCUCUUACACUGAUAGACACACACACACACACACACACACAUGACAAACAACCCAAAAUUCAAGGUGUUGCUUGCACUGCUAUUUUAAUCUUGAAACUGAUUUGAGUAGAUAAUUUGGUUCUUCUUGGCUAACACCAUCUAAAUGCUGACCAAAGCUUACACUAUCGUAAUGUCACAAUGGAUUGCACUUGUCAGAUGUGUGGGGCAUCGUGUGAAUAUUUCAUUCAUGCCUUGCUCCAAUGUCGGGAUACAAAAUUGAUUUGGGACUUGAGAGCAUAGAAAUUAUGUGGAGUUGUUGAAUGAUGCUCCUUUAAGCUCCUUUGUUGAGCGACUGUAGUGGCUUCCAUAUAAGGUGGAGAAAAAAGAACUAAGUUUGAUCUUUGUUCUGACUUGGUUUGCAUGGUUUUGCAGGGAUGAGAGUAUUUAUUAGGACCUUGUGACUAGUCAUGUAAGUCUAGCCUCUGGUAAUGAUCGAUUUUUAAAAUUUUGUUCUCCUAAUAUUUUUUUGCAGAAAUUGAAUUUUGAUUAUUGUUGUUUUCUUUGACUUUUUAAUCAAGGUUAUGUGAUGCAUAGAUAGUAGCCUAGUUUGGUAUUGGAUAAGGAAAGUGUUAGCUGAAUACUGGUGAAGCUUGUACCAUUGAUUCUUAUCAUUGAUAUCCAUUUCCUCGAAUUUAGGUUAUUUGUGAAAAUAUCAUAUUCCAUUGCUCAUGUUAGUUAUGUUUCGUUUUGAUUUGUUUAAUUUGGUUGUGAUCAUGUUUGCUGUUACUGUCCAUAUUAUGCACUGUGUAUACUUCAGGUUUGACAGAUUAAGUUUGUGAGAUGAAUUUUAUACGUAAUUUGUUAAUUGAAGGGAUGUUUUAACUAUGACAGGUAAUAAUUAUCUAAAGAUAGAUUAUUUAAGGGGAAUGCUUUACAAAAUUAAAUGAUACGUUGAAUUCACUCACUGAAAAGACUAGAAUUUACACAGAAGAACCAAUAUGACAGAUUAUUAUCACAUGAGCUUGAAACUGAAAGGUCAUACCCAAGGAAGGCAUGAAAAACACAUUCCAAUAUGUAGCCGAGCACCAAUAUACCAGUAGAGUCCAAUGUCUCAAAUGAAAGCAAGGAACAAUGUAACUUCUUGAGAUGAUUUAAGUCCCAAUUUGAAGCAACACCUUCAACAGAAUCAGAUGCCUAACCUAGGUUUGAUGAUACUGAAGAAUCGGAGCCGAGUUUUUCCAGAAAUGGUAUCAGUCCCAUAAAGCACCUAAAUAAAGACGGAUGGCACUGUAAUUUGAUCAGAAAUGUAUUGAGUAUUGAGUAUAAUUACUUUUCUGGGUAUAGUUCAAAAUGUUCAAAUUUGUUCAUGGGAA